rnacentral:rRNA from 1 species
UACGUAGGGUGCAAGCGUUGUCCGGAAUUAUUGGGCGUAAAGAGCUCGUAGGCGGUUUGUCGCGUCUGCUGUGAAAACCCGAGGCUCAACCCCGGGCCUGCAGUCGAUACGGGCAGGCUAGAGUCCGGCAGGGGAGACUGGAAUUCCUGGUGUAGCGGUGAAAUGCGCAGAUAUCAGGAGGAACACCGGUGGCGAAGGCGGGUCUCUGGGCCGGAACUGACGCUGAGGAGCGAAAGCGUGGGGAGCGAACAGG